GCGAGAGUCGGACAGCGGGGGGGAAGCUGCGGUCUGCUGGUGAGAAGACAUCGGAACACGGCUUCAGCCGGACUGCACAAGGCUUUGACUGCUCUCCAUGUUACAGGGAAAAGAUGACGGGCUUCACGGCACUGCACGUCCUCUGGCUCACGUCUGCUUUCACUUUUGCUAGAGAAGAGAUGGUGAGGCUCCAUGUGAGCCCCCGGGUCGCGGCCGCGGCCGGCCGCCCGGCCGCGCUGCGCUGCAGCGUCUCCUCUGAGCGGCCGAGUCACCUGCGAGUCCAGCACAUGGAGUGGUCCCGGAAUAAGACGACCCUGUGCUCCGUGAACAGCCGAGGAAACCUCAGCACGAACGCGCAACUCGCCCCCAGCGACUUCCACUGUGGAUACGAGGAUCAGCAGCUGGUCCUGGUCUUCAACAGAGUCCGGCCAAUGGAGAGCGGGCGCUACGGCUGCAAGCUCCAGUCCAACCAGGGAGCCCUGCAUCAGUACACGGUUCUGGAGUUAGAAGAGCACAGCGGGGGGGCUGAGGGCUACGUGACGCGCCACGGCCCCGCCUGCAGGUUCCGACACGUCCACCCGGACGGGGAGGUGCACUGGUUCCACGGCUCGCGCCGGCUCCCGCACGACGGGCGGCACGGCACCACCAAGCGCGUGGAGGACGGCGGCUGGCUGAGCAUCGACAGCCACCUGAGGCGGAACGCGUCCGAGGAGCCCUACAACUGCUCCCUGCGGAGCGCCGGCUCGGGCAGGGUCAUCGCCAGCGCCCUGGUGUACCACACCGACGCCUUGCUCGAGGGCGACGGGGGACACGCGCCCUCGUUGUUGCGCAACGGCGGCGCCGCGGCCGCGGGGGCGGUUUUGUACAUUUCAACCUCGCUGCUUUUCACUUUGCAAUGAGGGAAAACCGUGUCGGCGCACUGGACUUCAGGGGGAAAACCACUGGUUAGGAACCAGCAGCUACGGUGAGGUACCGAAACAGAAACGGGAGCGGAAACACCCUCGGCUGUUGAGGUAGCGAUCCAAGGUUCAUAAUAGCUGCUGGUAAGUAAACAAGGCAAUUACACUCAAUACAGAGGUGAUACCAGACAAGACAGGUUUGCUGCAGGCCCAGCAGCUGGUGAACUGGUUUUAGAACAAACACACACCCACACACACGGUAUUUCCAGGAUACAGCAGGAACCCAUGUAAAUCCCCCCCGGAAACACUGACGCCUUUGUGUAAAAAGUACCAAAAACUCCAUUCAAUGUGAGAAUUCGCUCGAAUACAAGCGCUGCGUUCCUCUGGUUGGAUGCUGCCCUCUAGUGGCCUAGUUUUGACUUUCUGUCCUGCAAUGUUGUGAUACGCAAGCCAAGCAAUGUAGCGCACACACACACACACACACACACACACACACACACACACACACACACACACACACACACACACACACACACACACACACACACACACAGCUUUGUGCUGUUAGGUGGAAUGAUAUAUGUAUAUAUAGAAAGUAUGUAGAAAUAUUGCUUCUGAUACAAAAAAUAUUCAAUUGCUGUAUAUGUAUAAUUUGCUUUAACACAUGAUACAUAGUAGAAAGAUACAUACAUGCACAUAAAGAGAGUUUUUAGAAUAUCAUGAUUUGUUGUUGUAUAUGUUUUGUAUAAAACUCUUUGCUGACAAAUCAAAAGCUACUGUGGCUUCAACUGAAUCUCUUUUUAAUGCUGUUUUGAAUACAACAAUUCACCAAAUACAUAUGUACUGUAAAUACAAAUAUAAAUGGUACAUCACAAAUAAAUUCAAUAAAAUAGAUUUUAUUAAAGUGUUU
ensembl:lncRNA